rnacentral:rRNA from 1 species
CCAGCAGCCGCGGUAAUACAGAGGUCUCAAGCGUUGUUCGGAUUCAUUGGGCGUAAAGGGAGCGUAGGUGGCGGGGUAAGUCAGGUGUGAAGUCUCGGGGCUCAACCCCGAAACUGCAUUUGAUACUGCCUUGCUUGAGUCCUGGAGAGGAGAUUGGAAUUUACGGUGCAGUAGUGAAAUGCGUAGAUAUCGUAAGGAAGACCAGUGGCGAAGGCGAAUCUCUGGACAGGUACUGACACUGAGGCUCGAAGGCCAGGGGAGCAAACGGGAUUAGAUACCCCGGUAGUCCUGGCAGUAAACGGUGCGCGUUUGGUGUGGGAGGAUUCGACCCCUUCCGUGCCGGAGCUAACGCGUUAAACGCGCCGCCUGGGGAGUACGGUCGCAAGAUUAAAACUCAAAGAAAUUGACGGGGGCCCGCACAAGCGGUGGAGUAUGUGGCUUAAUUCGAUGCAACGCGAAGAACCUUACCUGGCCUUGACAUGCAUCUCUAAGUCGGUGAAAGCCGGCGACUCUCGCAAGAGAGAAUUUGCACAGGUGCUGCAUGGCUGUCGUCAGCUCGUGUCGUGAGAUGUUGGGUUAAGUCCCGCAACGAGCGCAACCCCUGUGAACUGUUGCCACCGGCGCAAGCCGAGCACUCUGUUCAGACUGCCCUGUGAAACGGGGAGGAAGGUGGGGAUGACGUCAAGUCAGCAUGGCCCUUACGGCCAGGGCUGCACACGUACUACAAUGCUCAGCACAGAACGAACCGAGACCGCGAGGUGGAGGAAAUCUCUAAAACUGAGCCCAAUUCGGAUCGCAGGCUGCAACUCGCCUGCGUGAAGCCGGAAUCGCUAGUAAUGGCGUAUCAGCUACGACGCCGUGAAUACGUUCCCGGGCCUUGUACACACCGCCCGUCACAUCAUGGAAGUUACUUGUACCCGAAGCACGUGCGCUAACCGCAAGGAGGCAGCGUUCUAAGGUAUGAGUGGUAACUGGGAUGAAGUCGUAACAAGGUAACCGUA